rnacentral:rRNA from 1 species
GUAGCUUGCUACCCGCUGACGAGCGGCGGACGGGUGAGUAAUGCAUAGGAAACUGCCCAGUAGUGGGGGAUAGCCCGGGGAAACCCGGAUUAAUACCGCAUACGUCCUUCGGGAGAAAGCAGGGGCUCUUCGGACCUUGCGCUAUUGGAUGUGCCUAUGUCGGAUUAGCUAGUUGGUGGGGUAAAGGCCUACCAAGGCAACGAUCCGUAGCUGGUCUGAGAGGAUGAUCAGCCACAUCGGGACUGAGACACGGCCCGAACUCCUACGGGAGGCAGCAGUGGGGAAUAUUGGACAAUGGGGGCAACCCUGAUCCAGCCAUGCCGCGUGUGUGAAGAAGGCUUUCGGGUUGUAAAGCACUUUCAGUGAGGAGGAAAACCUUAUGGUUAAUACCCAUGAGGCUUGACGUUACUCACAGAAGAAGCACCGGCUAACUCCGUGCCAGCAGCCGCGGUAAUACGGAGGGUGCAAGCGUUAAUCGGAAUUACUGGGCGUAAAGCGCGCGUAGGUGGUUUGAUAAGCGAGAUGUGAAAGCCCCGGGCUUAACCUGGG